ensembl:lncRNA
UUUUAUGUUAUUUUAUUUUUAUUGGCAGCAGUUAAACCAUAUUAGAAAGGAAUUGUGUUUCUUUCUAAAAUGCAUCAAGCAAUACAAAGGUGUGGAGACCAAAUGAAGGUGUGGGUAGGUAUAGUAUAUGAAGGAUUUGUAUUCCUCUCCCUUCUUAUUCAACCUGUGGAUGAGAAAAUGCAUCCUUUACAUAUUUACAGAGCUUUGCAAAAUGUUACCAGUUACUUCCUCUCUAAUAUCCCUAAUGUAGGGGAAAACACCAUUUGAAAUUGUAGAAAUGUCAGAAACCCUUUGCAAAAGUAAAUCAUAAGCAUACUAUUGCUUCUUCUCCUAUUGUCAAGAAAGGAUUUGCACUGAGAAAUCCUAUUAAUAGAGAUUAUUUGCAUAAAUCUUUUGUGCAGCAGACUCCAAAUAAUUUGUAUUAUAUACUUCUCCUGUGGCAUGUAUGUUAAAAUUGUGUAUUUUUAAUAAUAUAUUCAUGUUGCCACUUAAAAAUCUACACAGCCAUGACUCACCAGUGUCUAGUUUCUCCUGAGGUCAAGUGCAGUCAAGCUUAGAGAUCUGUAAAUGCUCAAAAUUCAUUAAACUCUCACCAGUCCUCAGUAAUUCCCAUUCCAGUAAGUCAUCACAACUGUCCCACAAAAGCGUUCCAGCAUCUCCCAUUCCCUUUACAAUGCUAGGAUGUGAUUUAUUACUCCAGUCUGGGUGCUCUGAGAACUUUUUAAUAGUACUAAUUGCCUUAUUAUCCACUCCAGUGCGAGAGUAAAACCUUUUGACAUUUUCCUUCCUUCCCCGAGGAAAACAAAUCCCAGUUCCUGGGAUAUUGCCUUCUGCUCCCUUUGUGAUUACUGGGGCGAGGAAUUCCUUUAGGCCCUUUGCCUUAUCAGCCUCAUCUGUCACCAACUUCCCAUUCCCAUCUCUCUUGGUGCUCCCUAAUCACUUUGCAUCUUCCAUUAUUCUGUGUUAUUUUUUUCCCUCUGCUUUUUUUUUUUACUUACAGUGUCAAUCUUCAUCACAUAUUCUAUUCCUUAUUUUCUAUCAAUGUAUUUUUUUUCACAUCAGGCUCUGUGAUACUUACCUUGCCCCAGUUUACUAUUUUUAAAUUAGUGUAGGAGUGCCUAUUGAAAAAAAAAAAAAAGAAAUAAAUGUAUUUUUUUCUGGCUGUUCCAUAUUUAAGAAUUUGCUGCAAGAGCUCCAAGAAAACCACACACAUACGUGAAUUCCUGUGUGUCAGCUACCAGAAGAUAUUCAUUUUCUAAAAGCAAAACUAGUAUCACCAAAAAAUAACUUGGCAGGUCUCUAAUCUUUUCAAUGCUGAGAAAAUAAGAAAAUAAAUAAAUUUGCUUUUUUUUUUUUUUUUUUAAGUGAAAACCUGGAAUUAAUUGUGCUGCCCCACCCUCUCAGCAUCUAUUUUUCCUGCUCUGUGUGAACAGUAAGAAGAGAGCAGCCACAUUUCUGUUGCAUGUUCAGAUGUGAAGGAGCACAAAGCUAAACCCAGGAGAAGGAUGGAGGGGCCAAGUGGGAUAAAAACACCUGAUAUUCCCAGGAGGGGAGCACUGGAGCUCUCUGCUCACAGCAGGAUGGUUGGGCAGCAGCCAGGGCUGUGUCAGGUCAGUUCUGUUCAGCCAAAUCCUGGAAAUUCCUGAGGAGGGAGCACCCAAAGCCUCCCUGAAUGAGCUGUCCUGCUGCUGCACGACCCUCCUGCUGGAACAUCUUCUCCUCAUGUCCAGUGUGACCUUCCCAAGCCACAGCUCUUGUGGCUGCUCCUUGUUGGGAAGGGUUUGGCUCCACCACCUUUGUGACUCCCCUUCAGGCAGCUGCUGCUGCCUCAGAUUCACCCUCAGCCUUCCCCAGACCUGAGGGGUCUAAACCUGAUGCUUUAGACCCCUCAGCAGCAUAAGUGUUUUUCUCUGGAUCCUUUAUUCUUUCUCAGCAUCUCUCUUGAACUGGAGGGCCCAAAAGCAGUCAUGGUAUUCCAGGUGAGGUCCCCCAGGGCCGAGGAUGGACAGGCAGGUGACAAAUUUCCAUAACUGCUGACCAUGCUCCUACUGAGGCACCUCAGCCUGUGUUUUCUGCCAUAUGCAGUGACUCCAGAGUUCCUUCGAAUUCCAGGUCCACCAUAACCUCCAGGCCUUCCCCAGCAGAGCUGCUACUCCUGCAGCCUCUGCCUAUGGGGUUCAAAAGGCCAAGGAAAAAUUGGGAUUGUUCAGCUUGGAAGAGAGAAGGCUUUGGGAUGACCUAAUUGUGGCCUCCCAGUACCUGAAGGAGGUCAAUGAAAAGUCUGAGGUUGUUUGCAGGGACAUGGAGUAGCAGGACAAGGGGGAAUGGCUUCAAACAGGUUUAGAUCAGAUGUUAGGAGGAUUCUUCCCUGUGAGGGUGAUGAGGCCCUGGCACAGGCUGCCCAGAGAAGUUGUGGAUGUCUCAACCCUGGAAGUGUCCAAGGCCAGGCUGGAUGGAGCUCUGAGCAGCCUGGCCUGGUGGAAGGUGUCCCUGCCCAGGGCAGGAGGUUGGAAUGAGAUGAUCUUUAAGAUCCCCUCCACCCCAAACCAUUCAGUGAGUCUGUGAUUCCCAGUAAGGCAGACUUGCCACAGAACAUGGACAUAACAGGAUUCAGGGCACCCAGCUGAACACCCACGUUCUGACAGACAAAAUCCUCCUCUUGUGCCUUACCCUGAACUCCCCCACCGUGAGCACUCCUGGUUUCCUGAUCCCAAGGGUCUCAAAGCCUAACCAGAGAUUCCUGUAAUAACAAAAACAGGAAAGAGCUGUGCAUCCCUUCCCUGGUUUGUUCUGUCUUGGCUUUCACAUACAAACUGGCGAGUCUCUGAAGAACGUGCUUGGCUAUACUUGCACAUGCAGCCUCAAAACAAAUCUAAAGAAGCCAGCAUGCAAUUCAGCUUUGAAAUUUAGUUUGAAAAUUAGAUCUCAUAUGUCAUAUAUUUAUAUUCCAUAUAAAUAGAAAAAAUAUUAUGUUGCAUAAAAUCAUUUUCUUUAUGUUUUUUAACAAUCAUAAACUGUUAUAAAGAGCAUUUAGAAUACAGGCUCCCUGAUUGCUGUUCAUUUUCCUUCCUUCUCUUUAUUGGCCCAAGUGGAUUUUGAAAUAAUAUUUGGCAACUCUUGAUUUUCAAACAUUCUUUUCACACAUCUGUAGGGCUUUCUUAUGUUUACAGAUUAAUUCAGAUGUAUUUGGCUUAGAUUUCUGUCUCAGAAACAUAGAGGCUUAUCAAGGCAUUUGAUUGCCUCACUGGAGAAGAUUUGAGAUCUGUAAACAAAAAUCUGAAAUUUGGCUGCAGUAUGAUUUCGGUGUCUGUUAAACACACAAAAAACCAGAAUAACCUCUACUUCAUCAUUAAUACUUUAAGAAAGUAAGAUGUUAAAUUACAAAUCAUGCUAGAUAUAUUUGUCCUAAUUCUCCAGGUCUCAUGAAUGUCUAUGGCAAGUGUUUGAGCGCCUCUUGUUGUGACAAAAGAUCAAAUUGUCUAUGUUAAAUGGGAAUAAUAGAGUUCAAUACUCAAUUCUCUUUGUGGAUUAACAUUUUCUAUUAAGUAUUUUUUUAAAAUUUACAGUCCACAUGUGCAGAAAUGGGUUUUUUAACAGAUUAGGGCUAUGAGGACUUGAUUUUGUGUAGUUUGAUGAUGAAAUCAAAAAGCUCUUAUCAAGGACUGAAUGUAUAACAAUAUAUUCCAGUUCCUAGGUAAGUAUCCUACCAAAUGGGCAGCCAAUUGUCCUGGGAGUAACCUGCUUUCUUUUCUUCCUGUUGGAGCAUUCCCACUUCAAGCAGCUCAUUCAACUGUUUACAAAUGAUUUCAGGUAAACUUUGAGGUGACCAGACCCAAGUUCCUGUCCAUGCUCUAUGAACACUGAGAUCCAUCCACACCCCAGAAGGUGUCAGCAACAGAGACCAAGGUUAUCUCACAAAACACCUUAUGGUUUGGAAGGUAGGGCACUGGUCUAGGAAGGAGAGUUUUCCAGGAAAAGGUAAGGGAAUGUGGCCUCCAGCUUCCCUGAGCUAAGACAGUGGCAUUACUGCUGGGAAGUCCCAUAACUGAGCUGACUUGUGGGAUUUUAUCCCAACUUCCCCUCAUUUUGAAGCCCUGAAUUUCCUCUUUGUCACAGCUCAGUGUAUGAAGUGGUGCUCUGUUCCUGGGAGCUGUGGAAAAAACAGAAGGCAGGCAAAACUACAGCAGGGAGGCAGGAACACAGACUGCUCUGAUGAACUGUGGAAAGGGGAGAGGGUGUAGAGUGUGGAGUCUCUGAGUGUAGACUCCAUGAACUACACAAAUUUGUACCACUGCACUGGCUUACCCAAGCUAUGAGUUGGAGUCAGCCUAGGUCCAGCAAAACUAGGUCCAAGCCUGGCACCAGUUGUGCUGGAGUUUGUUGUGCUGAGUCCAGCCCAGGCUGUGAGCACAAAACCCCAUAUUACACCUCUGUGCCACGUCCCACAGCACUCCAACAUUUAGAUGCCUCCAAGCUUGAGUGUGGGACCAAAUAUAACCAAGGGUUCAGGCUGUGCUGUAUGAGCGUCAGAUGUUUUGUGCACACUCACUCCACAAUUAUCCUAAUUAAAAUUGGCUUCUGGUCUUACAGGUCCUGAUGAAUGCCAGCUGACCCACUUCCCAAACUGCCCCAAGAUAAGAAACAGCAGCUCUCCCACAUGUCCCAGUACUGAGACAUCACCAUGGUGCAUCAGACCUGCUUCCCAACCCAACAAGGGAGGAUGGCACCUCCUUCCCCUGGUACAUUUGACUCUUGUUCUCCCCCACCAUCCACCCACCCCAUGCACAGUCCUAGGGUGAAUUAAACUUUUUUUUCCUUUUUUUUUUUGUGCCCAAUCUCCCUUCCAAAAUGUCACGUUGUUCUAGUUUGAGUGAACAUUAUCUUUUUCCGCUAUUACCUACUGACCCCAGGGAGGUGCAUACCAUAAAAAUUUGAUUUUUAAAGUAAUUCUUUGAGAUUUCCAACAAUUUUCAAAAGGUUAGGGGGAGGUAUUACUGAUUCUUUUUCACAUUACUGAAUUCACUGUAAUUUAUGGAGUCUGCAUAGGCAGAAUUACUGAAUUACAAUCC